rnacentral:tRNA from 1 species
GCGCCCGUAGCUCAAUAGGAUAGAGCACUAGCCUCCGGAGCUAGGGGUUGUGGGUUCAAUUCCCGCCGGGCGUACAA